GCUGGGUGUGGUGGCAUGUACCUGUAGUCCCAGCUAAUUGGGAGGCUGAGGUGGGAGGAUCGCUUGAGCCCAGGAAAUCUAGGCUGCAGUGAGCUGAGAUUGUGCCACUGCACUCCAGCUUGGGCAACAGAGUGAGACCCUCUCUCAA
ensembl:misc_RNA Metazoa_SRP Metazoan signal recognition particle RNA